rnacentral:rRNA from 1 species
GUUUAAUUAAUAACUUUAAUAAAUUUAUUGUUAAAUAUAACAUUAUAUACCAUGAUUAUUUAAGCUAGUUUAUAUAAUUAUAUAUUUUAUUUGAGCUUAAGUAUAUUUGUAAAAUUGGUGCCAGCAGCUGCGGUUAGACCAAAAAUAUUAUAUUUUGUAGGGGGAAUACCUAAUUAUGGUUAUUAUUUUUAUUUGGUGAAAAAUUAAAAUAUAUUUUUAUUAUAUUGUUAGGUUUAACUUUAAUAUUAAAAUAGGAUUAGAGACCCUAGUAUAGUGAAAUAAGUAUCCUCAGUAAUAUAUUGAAAUUGUAAAAAUUUGGCGGCUUUAAAUUUUCAGAGGGGCUUGUAUGUAAACGAUAAACCGCGAUUAGUUUGUCUUUUUUAUUUUUUGUAUAUCGUCAUGUAAGUGAUUUUUGUUAAGUAAAACCUAUAUUAGAUCAAGAUGCAGAGAUAGUAAAGCCAUAUUAGCCACAAUAUGUAGUAAUAUACUUAAAAAUAAGGUUUUGAGGAGGAUUUGAUUUUAAUUUUUAGACAGAUGAAUAUAAUUUUUAAGUGUUCAGAUCGCCCGUCAUUCUCUCUGAGACAAGUCGAAACAAAGUUAGUCUACUGGAAAGUAGGCUUU